rnacentral:lncRNA from 1 species
AUGGGGCCUGGGCAGGGCGCUGGGGCUGCUCGUGGUGGUGGGGAGGUGCCCCCGGGUGCUGGUGGGGGCACGGUGCACACUGGGAUGGUUUGUACGGGGGGCGCGGUGCCGAGAGCGCGUGCCCAAAGUGCUCCUUGUGCAAUGCACACGUGCCCACAGCCCUCCCCGUGCAACACACGUGUGCCCAGAGCACUCCUUGUGCAACACACGUGUGCCCAAAGUGCUCCCCAGGUGGUGUACACGCAUUGGGGCUCCACCUUGUGCAAUGCACACACACCAAAACCCUGCCUCGUGCAAUGCACACGUGCCCAGAGCCCUCCCCAUGCAACACACGUGUGCCCAAAGUGCUCCCCAGGUGGUGUGCACGCACCAGGGCCCCACCUUGUGCAAUGCACAUGCACCAAAACCCUGCCUCGUGCAGUGCAUGCACAACCAGAGCCCUCCCUGUGCAACACACACGUGUACCCAGAGCACUCCCCGUGCAACACACGUGCCCCUGGAGCCCCCCCCCAGUGCCAGGCACUCGUGCCCCGAGCAGCAACCCCCAGGCGCACAGCCGGGCGCGCGCCCCGCCACCUACCCAGCGUGUUGGCGAUCCCCGUCUUGACGCUGGAGGUGCUGACGUGGCUGAUGCGGUUCUCGUGCUCCGGUUUCACCAGCACCACCACUUUGAUGUUCCACAGGGACUGCAUGGCCACCUGGGGGGCCGCGGGCCGUGAGACCCCACGGAGGACACCCCACGGAGAGGGACCCCCCGCCCCGAGCCGUGACCGAGCCGCGGUGCGCACCGGGCACCAACACAGCCACUCCUGGCUGCACCCACGCUGCCAGCAGCCCCCUCCGCUGCCCCCUGCACCCCAAAAGUGGGCUCCUGCCACGUGGCAAACGAGCGGUGGCAGGGGGUGGCCACGGCACCAUGGGGACCACGACAUCUCCAAGCACCCCAGCACCGCGUGCGCCCACCCCGAAGCACCCGGUGCCGGCACAGCCAGGGUACCCCCAGCUCCCCAGGGUGGGGGACAGGGGGCUCCUACCGGGCGGUACUCGAUCUCGGUGAAGUCCUUGAGGACGGCCCGGAGGAAAUCCACCCACUCCUUGUCCCCCGUGGAGUUCUCCUGCGUGCCGAAGACGUAG